UUUAGGGGUGUAGGAUGUAAAUUGUUUGGGCUUAGGGCUUUGAUAAGCCCAAUACGAGCCAACCAUGUAAGAGAGGAGGGGAACUUAGAUUUUCACUCCAUCGUUCCUCAUUCUACAUGCGUUUCAUACUUCACCUCGAGCGAGAAAAACUCUGCCGCGUCGGAAAUUGCCUUGGCGGCGGCGAAGGUCCAAUCCCUUCAACCUACACAUCAAGGUACUCUCCUUUAUCCCCUCUUCCACAAUCCAAUAUCCAUUUAUUUUAAUUCCUAAUUUAAAUUCCAAAAAUCGACCUAAGAAACAAAGGAACCCUAAAACCUAAAAACCAAAUUAAAUGAGGAAGAUAAGCUAAUUGGAGCCCAAACCAUGGGGGUUUGGCUCCCACGAAGGAGCAUUACAUCGUGGUAAUGGUGAAUUGAAGAAAGGGAGUAGAAAGGCCUACCUGCCAAAGAAAAUCCAGCGGUUCUUCAAGGUAUUAACACCGAUGAAAAGAAUGUCUAGAGAUUGUCUUCUUCUUCGGGUACGUGAAUAUUCUUCUAUAUUUGAUGCUCAAUUCCUCUUAUUCUUCUUCUCCGCGUGUGGGAGUAUAAGAUGGAGAGAGUGAUGAUAGUUGUGAUGAUGAUGCAUUGAGAUUGAUGAGGGAUUAUGUCUAAUGCUCAAAGAGAGUUCAAAUUCAAUUGAUGAUUGUGCUGUGAUUUUUAGUGAGUGUGAUUGUCAAUGAAUUAUGUGAUGAUUCUGAAUGAUUGUCAAUCAGAUAAUUUAGAGAGAAUUAUCAAAGAAUUAAGAAUUCAGAGAGAGUGUUUUUGGUGAAUGUGAUGGAUAUCCAUGAUUGGAGAGUGAUGAUGAGUUUAUAGAGCUUGAAGGUGCAACCAAUUAGGCAGGCUCGGGCCAGGUUAGUUGGAAGUUAGAGUAAGUUAAAUCAUGUUAAGUUUCUAAGAGCAAAGUGGUUAGGGAUGAAUAACUCUGUUAAUUUUGUCAAGUUUAGUUAUGAAUGUUUGUUAAAUCUAUUGACAUUGUUAGGUUCUGUUAGAGUUUGUUGUUAGCAGUUAGUGAAAUGAAGUUAAGUUAUUAGUUACAGUUAACUUGAUAAAACUGUUAGUGCAUACUUUUAGAAUUUAGUGGUUUUACUUUGUCAAUUCGGAAAGUUGUGAACUGAAUGUUAGGGAGUAUUAAAAGGUUGAAAUGUUAGUGAAGAUAUUAGUUAAAAUGGAAUUUGUUAACUUAGUUAUAAUUAGAGUGUAAGUAACGUAGUUGUCAAUUGAUAUGAAAAUUUGAAGUAGUUAGUGAAUGACAUUUUCUGUUAGGAACAUUGGUUAUGUGAUAGUUAAAUCGAAUUGUUGAAUUAUUAUGUUAGUUAGUCAUAGAUACUGAUGAAAAUUUGAAGAUAAAUGUCAUGAAAAUGAGUGAAUUUGAUUGUUAGUUAAAAAAAUUAGAACUGGUAAAAUAGUUAAUGUGGAAAGAAAAUGAUUAGGUUAAGUGGUCUUGCAAUGUUAGUAGGUUGGAUUGGACUAUCAUGGUUGUUUAAUGCAUUGUAUAAUUAACUUGUUGGUAGGUUAGUUAAUUGAUUAUACAUGUUUUAUAAGAAUUUGAAAUUGUUUUUGUCUAUGAUGAUUGGUUAGAACUGAAGUUGAGUUAAUAUGUUAGUGAAAUCCAAUGGUUAGCUAAAGGCUGUUAUGGAUGGAUUGAGUGAGUGUAUUUGAAUGCCUAUACAUGUGAAUCAUGCUUGAUUGGUCAUGGAAAGUUUUAGAACUUUGAAGACUUAGGAAGUUCAUUUGACAGUAGGAAUUCAAUGUGAAAUAUUGAAGGUUAUACUAGUUGGUAUGCUAUUUGAAUUGGCUUGUUUCUUGGUUUUUUUGCAUGUUUAAAUUACUUCUAAUUUUGAUAUGGAGGUAAUGUUAUAAAUUGGAAAUGGUAUGAAUGUAAUGAAUAUAUGUAUAUGAAUGGUAUGCUGAUGAUGUUUUAUUGAUCUAGCCUUGUUUAUUGCAAGUGUGCACAUAGGAUGGCUUGGUAUGCAAGGCUUGAUCAAAGUUGUUUAGCACAUCAUAACACAUUAAGAUGGAAGUCAAAAUCAAAGGAAGGAGAUUGGAGACUUGGAUGCUCAAUAAUGGGGGGACCUUGUGGAUGUAGAGAAAAUGAGAUUAGGGUCAUAAGAUUAGAUAGUUGACUUUGGUUAACUGGUUGACCAAAGAGUCAUUAGUUAACCAAAGUAAAAUGUAGGUCAAAAAUGAAAUUUUUGUAUAGGAUUGGGCUUUGAAUUUCUUGUAAUGGAAUUGGUGGAUUUUUACUUUGACUUUUGUAAUAUAACUUGCUUUCCCUCCGAAGUUUUGAAUAUUUGAAUAUGUGUUGAUCUUUUGCAAAAUAACCUUGACCCUUGAAUUUGAAUCA
rnacentral:lncRNA from 1 species